GGGGCGCCUGUGGGAGUCGUGGAGGGAACUUUCCCAGGCCCCGAGGCGGAUCGGGUAUUGAGUCCAUGGAGCGAGCUGAGAGCUAGAGUACAGAACCUGCUAAGGCCAUCAAACCUAUCGAUCGGAAGUCAGUCCAUCAGAUUUGCUCUGGGCCGGUGGUACUGAGUCUAAGCACUGCGGUGAAGGAGUUAGUAGAAAACAGUCUGGAUGCUGGUGCCACCAAUAUUGAUCUAAAGCUUAAGGACUAUGGAGUGGAUCUCAUUGAAGUUUCAGACAAUGGAUGUGGGGUAGAAGAAGAAAACUUUGAAGGCUUAAGUUGGGACUCGACUGGUGUUUGAUCACGAUGGGAAAAUCAUCCAGAAAACCCCCUACCCCCACCCCAGAGGGACCACAGUCAGCGUGAAGCAGUUAUUUUCUACACUACCUGUGCACCAUAAGGAAUUUCAAAGGAAUAUUAAGAAGACGUGCCUGUUUCCCCUUCGCCUUCUGCCGUGAUUGUCAGUUUCCUGAGGCCUCCCCAGCCAUGCUUCCUGUACAGCCUGCAGAACUGUGAGUCAAUUAAACCUCUUUUCUUCAUAAAUUA
ensembl:lncRNA PMS2P4 PMS1 homolog 2, mismatch repair system component pseudogene 4